CAGUCAUUUCCAUAGAGGAGGCUUUGCAUCAUCAGCUGAUCCUCCAGUGAACUCACAAGGUUUAUAGUGGUGUGAGUUCAACACUGCAGGACUCACAUGUGUCAGUCAACACAGCAGGAAGCACAAGCAGCAUGACUCUCAUCACCAUCCUCAUCUGGACGCUGCUCUGCUGCUGCUUUACAGGAUGCAGUGGUCAGGUGACGGUGACUCAGCCUCCAGUGGAGACGUUCACUGCAGGAUCCACUGUGACGCUCACCUGUAAAACCAACACAGCUGUUUUUAGGUGGAAUAAUGCUGACUGUAUGUCCUGGUACCAACAGAAACCUGGUCAGAGCCCAAAGCUCCUGAUCUAUUAUGUAGAAAAGCUGCAUUCAGGGACACCAGAUCGGUUUAGUGGCAGUGGAAGCGGCUCUGACUUCACUUUGACCAUCAGAGGAGUUCAGGCUGAAGAUGCUGCAGUUUAUUACUGUCAGAGUCUUCAUAGUGGGCCAGUGUUCACACAGUGAUUUAGCGCCGUACAAAAACCUCCUCAGUCAGAGACACUGAGCUGUUACAGCAGGAACCAACUGCAGCUGCUGAAGAGGAACAAACUCUGACAUAGACACUGAACUCAGUGAUGAAACUAAACUCAACAAACAUGUUAGAGAUUCUCAUUAACUAACUAACCUUAACCAACUCUCACUACAUGUCACAAUGUUGUUUGUGAAAUUCUUAUGAAUUUAAAUUAAUAAGUGA